rnacentral:tRNA from 1 species
UCUAAGGAUGAUCUUAGCUGAAAGUUUACUUUCACGUAGAUCACUUUUUAGCAGCUCUUAAAUGAGCUUUAGUAGUCUUCGGACUACAUUAUAGACCGAACCGUCCUCAUAUCUCUUCAGUAAUAAUAAUUUUGCAGGUCAUCGAUCUGUUAAGGGUCGGUAGCUCAGGUGGUUAGAGCGCACGCCUGAUAAGCGUGAGGUCGGAGGUUCAAGUCCUCCUCGACCCACCAUAAAAUGGGGCGUUAGCUCAGCUGGGAGAGCACCUGCUUUGCAAGCAGGGGGUCAUCGGUUCGAUCCCGAUACGCUCCACCAUUUCCUUCAGAUUAUUAUAUCAAUUCCGAUUAGAUCAUUAAGGACUGUAAGCAGUUUUUAAUCAUCCAAUCGGAUGGCGAACCUUCGGGUUCACUUUUACAUCGUUUAGAGAGCAUAUAAAACACGAGACGUAAGUUUCUUGUUUGGACCACUUCUUCGGAAAAGGUUAGGAAUUGAAUAUUUUGAGGCUGAAGAGCUUUGAGAGACUAGAUUGUUAGCUGGUUCGCAGUAUCAUAGGUAACUAUGAAGCAUAAUCAGACUAGGGUGACCAACCCACUGUGCAUGUGCUGUUGGUGAGCGUUCCAGUGCGGUUCGCAAGCUAAUUCAAAAGAUAAUUUACAGUCUUUCCAAGUCAAAUACACUAACCAAAGUCACAGUGAAUUAGAUCUACUGUGACAUGAAGGGAUGCUCGAAAGAGCAUUCAUUCGCUGGAAUGUGCGUGACCUUCCUGCCAAGGGAGGGUUACAUUUGAGUUCAAAAUAAAAUGUUGUUUUUGCAAUUGCAAAACAAUGACGUGCCUAUCGCAAGAUAGGUGCUGAUGAACAAUUUUCUCAAAAAAAAUGACGACUUCUGUUCUAGAAAUAGUCUGACUAUUUCUG